rnacentral:lncRNA from 1 species
GCGGGCGGCGAGCACCAGAGCUGGGUGCGGUGAGGCGCGCAGAUCACCGCGGUUCCUGGGCAGGGCACGGAAGGCUCAAGAACCUGAUCUGCUGUAGCUCCAGUCUCGCGUUCGCCCCACCCCACCGCGCCGCCCGAGCGCUCGAGAAAGUCCACUCGGAAGAACCAGCGCCUGUUUCCCGGGCAGAUCCAGGUUCAGGUCCUGGCCAUAAGUCACCAUGGCCCAGCAGGCUGCAGACAAGUACCUCUAUGUGGAUAAAAACUUCAUCAAUAACCCGCUGGCCCAGGCCGACUGGGCUGCCAAGAAGCUGGUAUGGGUGCCUUCCACCAAGAAUGGCUUUGAACCAGCCAGCCUUAAGGAGGAGGUGGGAGAAGAGGCCAUUGUGGAGCUGGUGGAGAAUGGGAAGAAGGUGAAGGUGAACAAGGAUGAUAUCCAGAAGAUGAACCCACCCAAGUUCUCCAAGGUGGAGGACAUGGCAGAGCUCACGUGCCUCAACGAAGCCUCGGUGCUGCACAACCUCAAGGAGCGAUACUACUCAGGGCUCAUCUAUACCUAUUCAGGCCUGUUCUGUGUGGUCAUUAAUCCUUAUAAGAACCUGCCUAUCUACUCAGAGGAGAUCGUGGACAUGUACAAGGGCAAGAAGAGGCACGAGAUGCCGCCCCACAUCUAUGCCAUCACAGACACUGCCUACAGGA